rnacentral:rRNA from 1 species
CUGAUGCUAAUACCCCAUAUGCCGAGAGGUGAAAGGCUUGCUGCCUGAAGAAGAACUCGCGUCUGAUUAGCUAGUUGGUGGAGUAACGGUUCACCAAUGCGACGAUCAGUAGCUGGUCUAAGAGGAUGAUCAGCCACACUGGGACUGAGACACGGCCCAGACUCCUACGGGAGGCAGCAGUGGGGAGGUUUCCGCAAUGGGGGCAACCCUGACGGAGCAACGCCGCGUGAGGGAGGAAGGCCUUAGGGUUGUAAACCUCUUUUCUCAGGGAAGAAGGACUGACGGUACCUGAGGAAUAAGCCUCGGCUAACUCCGUGCCAGCAGCCGCGGUAAGACGGAGGAGGCAAGCGUUAUCCGGAAUUAUUGGGCGUAAAGCGUACGCAGGCGGUUUAUUAAGUCUGUUGUUAAAGCCCACAGAUCAACUGUGGAUGGGCAAUGGAAACUGAUGGACUUGAGUGCGGUAGGGGUAGAGGGAAUUCCCGGUGUAGCGGUGAACUGCGUAGAUAUCGGGAAGAACACCAGUGGCGAAGGCGCUCUACUGGGCCGCAACUGACGCUGAGGGACGAAAGCUAAGGGAGCGAAAGGGAUUAGAUACCCCUGUAGUCCUUAGCUGUAAACGAUGGUACACUAGGUGUUGCGCGUAUCGACCCGUGCAGUAUCGUAGCUAACGCGUUAAGUGUCCCGCCUGGGGUAGUACGCUACGCUAUAGUGUGAUACUCAAAGGAAUUGUACGGGGGCCCGCUACAUAGCGGUGGUAGGUAUGUGGUUUAAUUCGUAUGCUACGCGAAGAACCUUACCAGGGCUUGUACUAUGCCGCGAAUUUCCUUGAAAGUAGGAUAGGUGCCUUCGGGAGCGCGGUACACUAGGUGGUGCAUGGCUGUCGUCAGCUCGUGUCGUGUAGUAUGUUGGGUUAAGUCCCGCAACGAGCGCAACCCUCGUCCUUUAGUUGCCAUCAUUGAGUUGGGCUACUCUAGGGAGACUGCCGGGGACAACUCGGUAGGAUAGGUGGGGACGUACGUCAAGUCAUCUAUGCCCCUUUACGUCCUGGGCUACUACUACGUCCUUACUAUGCUGCGGACAGAGGGCAGCGAGCUCGCAAGAGUCAGCAAAUCCCUAUAAACCGCGGCCCAGUUCAGAUUGCAGGCUGCAACUCGCCUGCUAUGAAGGCGGAAUCGCUAGUAAUCGCAGGUCAGCAUCCUGCGCCGUAUACGUUCCCGGGCCUUGUACACACCGCCCGUCACACCAUGGGAGUUGGCUACGCCCGAAGUCGUUACUCUAA